UUCCUUCUUAACCAAAUCGAAAUUUCUUCGGCCCAGAGCGUCAUGGGAAGGAGCCAUUAAGAAAAGCAUGACAGAAAGAAACCUGUCGGGGGAGCAAUGCUAUAAUAGAGACGAAUGGAUGAAAAAUCUGGAAAUCAAUCAGCGACGACAGACGCUAUAAACCGAAAAUAUAUAAAUUAUUCCAAAUACACCAUAAUGAUGUAGAUACAACCGUGCGGAAUCAAUUUUAGGAACGCUUCACAUUUCAAUCAACGUCAGUAACUUUCACCUUAAAUAAAAUUAAUCGAAACUUCUCUUAACAUCGCUUCUUUGUUCGCACCUACACUAGCAGCGGGAAAGGUUGAGUUUUCAAAAGAAAUAUUUUCUUUCGAGUAACAUUUUCACUGUAGAAAGGAAAGGGUAGGUACGUUUUUGACGAUUUACUUUUUCAGUGCUUCAUACCUUUAUAAAUAGGAAGCUUAUGCACGCUUCAUCGACCUGAUGUGACACCGUCAAUUUUGCAAGGAAGCACGUAAACGUAUUUACCUACGGCCAACGUUUCAAUUUAUUGAUUGCCAAAAUUCUUCGCCGAAAAAAUGUCAUUGUCGACAUUGUAAAACCUCCCAUUGCCUUAAUUGGUCUCUUUGAAGAAAUUCUACGAAGAAGAUAUCCAGCAAAAUCGAGGGAAAGCAGGGUCCAAAACCACUACCUGUAGAAAUUAGAAACGAGGCGUUAAAAAGCUCUAUCCUCUUGAGCUCAGCGACUUGCUGGGAUUGCAACAAUUGAAAGGUACCUACGUAUUAUAUUUUUUUACUAUACCUAGUAUACUUAGAGAAGUUUAUGAUGGCGCAUGAAUAUAACCUUAUAAUUAUUGAAUUUGUUAUUUAACUAUAGGGGUAUUUUAUUAGGAGUUAGUAGGAAUUAGGUUUCCCUUUCCUGUCUAUUUUU